rfam:Oryza nivara chromosome 9, whole genome shotgun sequence.
AAUAAGUGUAGUUUUAGCACUGUUCAUGUUCAACAUUUGACCGUUCGUCUUAUUUGAAAAACAAUUAUGAUUAGUAUUUUUAUUGUUGUUAGAUGAUAAUACAUGAAUAGUACUUUAUGUGACUAAUAUUUUUAAUUUUUUAUAAAUAUUUUAAAUAAGACGGACGGUCACUUAUUUUGGGACGGGAGGUAGGAGUAGCUAUC